GACGGGUGAGUAACGCGUGAGGAACCUGCCUUUCAGAGGGGGACAACAGUUGGAAACGACUGCUAAUACCGCAUGACACAUAGGUGUCGCAUGGCACUUAUGUCAAAGAUUUAUCGCUGAAAGAUGGCCUCGCGUCUGAUUAGCUAGUUGGUGAGGUAACGGCCCACCAAGGCGACGAUCAGUAGCCGGACUGAGAGGUUGAACGGCCACAUUGGGACUGAGAUACGGCCCAGACUCCUACGGGAGGCAGCAGUGGGGAAUAUUGGGCAAUGGGCGCAAGCCUGACCCAGCAACGCCGCGUGAAGGAAGAAGGCUUUCGGGUUGUAAACUUCUUUUGUCAGGGACGAGUAGAAGACGG
rnacentral:rRNA from 1 species